rnacentral:rRNA from 1 species
AACGAACGCUGGCGGCAGGCCUAACACAUGCAAGUCGAACGCACCGCAAGGUGAGUGGCGCACGGGUGAGUAACACGUGGGAAUGUAUCCUUUGGUUCGGAAUAACGUCUGGAAACGGACGCUAAUACCGGAUGAGCCCUUAGGGGGAAAGAUUUAUCGCCGAAGGAGCAGCCCGCGUCUGAUUAGGUAGUUGGUGGGGUAAAGGCCUACCAAGCCGACGAUCAGUAGCUGGUCUGAGAGGAUGAUCAGCCACACUGGGACUGAGACACGGCCCAGACUCCUACGGGAGGCAGCAGUGGGGAAUAUUGGACAAUGGGCGCAAGCCUGAUCCAGCCAUGCCGCGUGAGUGAUGAAGGCCUUCGGGUUGUAAAGCUCUUUCGCACACGACGAUGAUGACGGUAGUGUGAGAAGAAGCCCCGGCUAACUUCGUGCCAGCAGCCGCCGCGGUAA